rnacentral:rRNA from 1 species
ACGUAGGCAGCAAGCGUUGUUCGGAGUUACUGGGCGUAAAGAGUAUGUAGGCGGUCUUCUAAGUUUGGUGUGAAAUCUCCCGGCUCAACUGGGGGGGUGCGCUGGAAACUGGGAGGCUAGAGUAUAGGAGAGGAGGGCGGAAUUCCUGGUGUAGCGGUGAAAUGCGUAGAUAUCAGGAAGAACACCGGUGGCGUAGGCGGCUCUCUGGACUGUAACUGACGCUGAGACGCGAAAGCGUGGGUAGCGAACAG